rnacentral:lncRNA from 1 species
GGACGGGAAAUGGGAGCAGAUCGGCUGUGCGGGAAGGAAGGGGGAAGAGUGGGCAUCCGGUCAUUUUCUGGAAGGAUAACAGGCAAAAUCGUAAAAUACGUGCGGAGAAGCUAUCAGAAGCAUCGUUUCAGCAGAUUUUGGGAUUCUCCGAAUCCGGAAUCUGACUUCUGGAAUCUAAGCGAAAAUCUACCUCGUUUGGAGGCUUCCUGAAUUCCGGCUUUUGGAUUCUUAAAAUCCAUCUCAAUCCAAACGGAGCCUUCUACAUCUCGUGGCAAGCCGAUGCGUGCCAUCUUGUGAAUGUGAAGCCCAUGCACGCGUGCGUGUAGUGCAGUGCAGGCAGCCUCCAGAUCAAAUCUUGCUCAGCCGCUCGCUCUCCGAAGAAUA